AUGUGUGUGCUCAUCUAUUUCAAUGCAAUAACAGUUUCAUGUGUUGGUUAUUGUGUUAUAGCAAGGCGUGCUCACUGUAGUUCAUAUCGAUUUUCUGCUGGUAGCAACUUAACUUGCUGCAAUCAUCAUGCGUCUGCUCAUCUGGGUCAAAAAAAAGUAGUUUCGUGUAAGGUUAUGUUACAAGGCUUGCUGAAUUUUUGGUCAGUGUGCUGUAGCAAUUCUUACCAUUUCAAGGUGGUCAUCUCAACCUAUGCACUUCCAAUCAUAACAAUCUGUUGCGUGCAUGUUUCCCAGCAGAUGUGCUGCUUCUGGAUGUUUCGUUUCCUUUUGUGUGUUCCAGUUCUAAAUGCAUACUCAAAUAUUUCGUGUCUUGUGGUGUAG
rnacentral:rRNA from 1 species